CAAAGUAAAAAUGCUCUUAUUUCUUCUGUAGUUUCAUCUCUUACCAAGAAGUUUCUUAUAUCAUUUCCAUGAAUUUUGUUAUGCUUGCACAACAUACCGUGAAACAUUCUGUUGGAAAAUGUGACAGAAAAGCCACUGAGAAAAUGCAGAAUUCAGGCCAAUUCAAACAAAGGACACAUUCUCAAUGGCUUUCUGGAAUGCUAAGCGUGAUGAUGGGCCACCUUACUGCCAACCUGUGCUUUUUGGAUGUAUCCAACUUAUGUACUGAUUAUAUGAAAUCUGGACUAUCUGCCUUGCCUGCUGUCUUCCUAAUAGACAGUGCUACAAAGAAUACAGCUGCUCAGUCCACAUGAACCCAUCAUCAACCAUAAAUGCCAAAGUGCCCUCCUAUAAAAGCAAAGUCUUUAUGACUCCACAUAUGCAAGACAUUUUCAUGACUGGUAAUAGAAGCUGAAAUAUGAGUUGUUAAUACCAUAUACAUUUUGUUCUGAAAAAGUAAAAUGUGGUGUUAUGCCCUGGGCACUUCUGAAAACUCAAAAUUCCUAGGUAUUUAGAAGUUUCAACAACCCCAUACAUAGCCUUUUCCUAGUUCUCUAUUGAUGAUUCAGUGGGCCUUGAACUUCUGUGAAAAGCUGCAAUCUCUUUAAAGCAGAAAAACAGAUAAGAAGAAAAACUAGCCUUUUACAAUGGAAGGAAAAUAGGGUCCCGGGAAUGGCCAUGAAACAAGGAAACAGAUCAAGUAUGUCCUAUGGUUAUGUAUUAUUAACAUGACAGAUGAAGAUAAGAUUAUGAAUUGAAUCUCUGCCAAUGCAAAGAUUGAGGAAAUGAAGCAAAGGACAUAAACUGUGUAGGAUGGUAAAGUGUUAUAAUUGGUGUUACUUGCUUUUGUUGUGAAGAAAGUGGGAUCUGACUAUGUCUGUGAGGAAGGAUAUGUAAAUUUGUAUGUAUAUAUAAUGAAUAUAUACUAUAUAUACACACACUAUAUAUGUACAUACUAUAAUAUAUACGUAUAGACAUUCACAUAUAUGAAUAUACAUGCAUAUAUAUAAAACCAGAUGGAUGGUUAUAUAUCUUCUUCCCUAGUUUGUUCUUACUACAUUUGAUGUAGAUUUGUUCUAAUUGGUGCCUUAAAUAAUUUGGCCUAGACCAUAAUAAAAACACCCAGUUCUAAGGAGUUUGGUUCUACAAUUUUAAAAUUUAUUUAUACACUAAGGUUGGUUAUGGGCAGGGCGGUGAAAUCAUUUGAGUUGUAAAAUUGGGUAAGAGAAAAGUUUUACUGAUUUGAUAAAAACCCAUCUGAGUGCUUGCUACGUUCAGCAUUUAUGUGAGACUCUGUCAGGUAGAAAUAUGUCACUGAAAGGCAUCAGUUCUUUUGCAAUCUGGUCUGAAAUAUCUGAUGGGAAAUGAAAAGCCAUUAUGGCUACCUGGUAGCAAGUCCAAUUACAAAUGACUCCAGAGCCCUCUGCAAUGUGACCUGACUCUAAAUCGUCCUUUAGGAUUGUCAUCCAGUCUGCUGGCCCUCUGCUUUCUGCCUACUCACAUGUAAUUGGGAAAUGGAAGGUACUUAUCUAUCUUGUUGAUGGCACUGUGCUCAUUUGAUAACAGUUGCUCCACAAGAGCACAAGAAGGAAAGUGCAUUUGCUGUAGCUAUAAGUUUACUCACUGAAGUGAGUAAAUCAUGGAUAUUGCAAUUGGACAAAUAGACAUUGGGAAGAGGGGGUGGGGUAAUUGGACUUUUUCUUUUAAAAAGGAACAAUAAAAUAAACCUUGUUCUUCACCCUCUUUACUUGACUUCUAUUAUCUUAUUUAUGAAAAAUACACACAAAAGAAGAAAGAAAUAUGAAACUAGUAUCGAAGGAGUUAGAAAGAGACAGUCAUUUGUAUUCUUGGCAGAAGAAGAAUCUAAACUAAAUAUUAGGAGUAACUUUCACUCUCUUGAUACAGACAUCCUUCAAGAAUUCUCCUUUCGUAGGAGGAAGCUGUCUUUCUUUUCUUGUCCCAAUACUACACUGAAAAUGCUAUCUUUUUUUCUUUGCUCUGGAGUCAGCCUAGUUAGGGAGUCAAGGCUUGUUUUGCAGUAGAAUACUGCACCAGGCUCGUUUCAUGUUGAUCUUGCAAAAUUCGGAGUUGUGAAUAUUCACUGCAGGUGUCCUGCUAAGGGAGUAAAUUUUCACAGACUAAAC
rnacentral:lncRNA from 10 species